rnacentral:lncRNA from 1 species
AUUUUUCUGACUCAAAAUAUUAGAAGUCACAUUGUCCGUUUUAAUUCUUGCAUUACAGUUUUUAACGGUACAUCUCCAUGAAAGGUCUCCAAUUUUUAGGGUUUGGUCCAAACGAUAUAAAAAUCCAUCAAGACAUAUACAUUGUUUUUCCUUUACUAGUCACUAUAACUUUAAACUCCAUGUUCAAGACUGUGUCAAUGAACUAACUAAUGACAAAUAUAAGUUAAAUUUAUUUACGUAAUGAAUACUUCUCAUUUUAAGAUUGCAGGUAGUCGACUAUACGUAAAAAGCGCAAAUGUCCGGUCAAUUUAAUACAGGUGAAUCAAAAUUAAAAGCGCAAAUGUCCAUACUAUUUGAAACGCAAAUGUCCUAUCGUUUUACAGGUAAAAAAGCGCAAACGUCCUGUGCCCG